rnacentral:rRNA from 1 species
AUUGAACGCUGGCGGCAGGCCUAACACAUGCAAGUCGAGCGGAGCGGCGGACGGGUGAGUAAUGCCUGGGAAUCUGCCUGGUAGUGGGGGAUAACGUCCGGAAACGGGCGCUAAUACCGCAUACUAUCAGAUGAGCCUAGGUCGGAUUAGCUAGUUGGUGGGGUAAAGGCCUACCAAGGCGACGAUCCGUAACUGGUCUGAGAGGAUGAUCAGUCACACUGGAAUUGGAAAACGGUCCAGAUUCCUACGGGAGGAAGAAGUGGGGAAUAUUGGGCAAUGGGGGAAAGCCUGAUCAAGCCAGGCCGCGUGUGGGAAGAAGGUCUUCGGAUUGUAAAGCACUUUAAGUUGGAAGGCGUUACCAACAGAGUAAGCACCGGCUAACUUCGUGCCAGCAGCCGCGGUAAUUC